rnacentral:lncRNA from 12 species
UGAAAGUUAAAAUAAUCUCUGGAACGUGCGCAAGAAACUGUGCAAGUUUUGCGGACAAUCCAAGCAAAGAUAAAUCAGACCGUAAAGAGUUGAGUACAGUGGGAGGGUGAGGGCUCGUGUUCACGGAGCAAUGACAUAGUAUAGACCCGAUCAGGAGCAAGACGCAGUCAUGCUAUAGAGACUUGCUUUCAGAUGGAGAGACGAGAGCAGUGUUCAAGGAUGAGAUGGCCUUGGAGCUUAGCCUUGAGAAGAGAGUAGACUCAGGAGCAUCUGGACGGGGAAGGAAAGAGAAAAUGGGAAUGUGAGGGUCGAGGCAUUGGGAAGAAAACAUCAUUACCACCUCUACUUGGCAGCAGAGAAAACAGAGCAGAAAGCUUCCUGGCUUGCAAUCUUUACAAAUAAGGUGGAAAGAAUGAGUGUGGAUAAAAGCAGACUUACAGGUUCAAUGGUGGGAAAUUGAAGAAGAUCCAAUAUGAUGACUUCUAUUUUCUGGGCAAGUUAAAAGGUAACAAUGAGGGGGGCCUGGGUGGCUCAG